UACGUAGGGGGCAAGCGUUGUCCGGAAUCAUUGGGCGUAAAGAGCGUGUAGGCGCCAGAAAAGUCCGCUGUGAAAACUCGAGGCUCAACUUCGAGCUGUCGGUGGAAACUUUCUGGCUAGAGUCCGGAAGAGGAGAAUGGAAUUCCUGGUGUAGCGGUGAAAUGCGCAGAUAUCAGGAAGAACACCCGUGGCGAAGGCGGUUCUCUGGGACGGUACUGACGCUGAGACGCGAAAGCGUGGGGAGCGAACAGG
rnacentral:rRNA from 1 species